UACAGAGGGUGCAAGCGUUGCUCGGAAUCAUUGGGCGUAAAGGGCAGGUAGGUGGUCUGAUUUGUCUGGAGGUGAAAGCCUUGGGCUUAACCCAAGAAGUGCCCCGGAAACGGUCAGACUUUGAGUCUUGGAGAGGGUUGCGGAAUUCCUGGUGUAGCGGUGAAAUGCGCAGAUAUCAGGAGGAACACCGAUGGCGAAGGCAGGUCUCUGGGCAUUAACUGACGCUGAGGAGCGAAAGCAUGGGGAGCGAACAGG
rnacentral:rRNA from 1 species